rnacentral:rRNA from 1 species
UUUUGGACAAUGGGGGCAACCCUGAUCCAGCCAUCCCGCGUGUGCGAUGAAGGCCUUCGGGUUGUAAAGCACUUUUGGCAGGGAAGAAACAGCCUGGGCUAAUAUCCCGGGCGAAUGACGGUACCUGCAGAAUAAGCACCGGCUAACUACAUGCCAGCAGCCGCGGUAAUACGUAGGGUGCAAGCGUUAAUCGGAAUUACUGGGCGUAAAGCGUGCGCAGGCGGUUCGGAAAGAAAGGUGUGAAAUCCCAGAGCUUAACUUUGGAACUGCACUUUUAACUACCGAGCUAGAGUACGUCAGAGGGGGGUAGAAUUCCACGUGUAGCAGUGAAAUGCGUAGAGAUGUGGAGGAAUACCGAUGGCGAAGGCAGCCCCCUGGGAUGAUACUGACGCUCAUGCACGAAAGCGUGGGGAGCAAACAGG